GAGUUUGAUCAUGGCUCAGAUUGAACGCUGGCGGCAUGCCUUACACAUGCAAGUCGAACGGCAGCACGGGAGCUUGCUCCUGGUGGCGAGUGGCGAACGGGUGAGUAAUGCAUCGGAACGUAUCCUGGAGUGGGGGAUAACGUAGCGAAAGUUACGCUAAUACCGCAUAUUCUGUGAGCAGGAAAGCGGGGGACCUUCGGGCCUCGCGCUCUUGGAGCGGCCGAUGUCGGAUUAGCUAGUUGAUGAGGUAAAGGCUCACCAAGGCGACGAUCCGUAGCAGGUCUGAGAGGAUGAUCUGCCACACUGGAACUGAGACACGGUCCAGACUCCUACGGGAGGCAGCAGUGGGGAAUUUUGGACAAGUGGGGGCAACCCUGAUCCAGCCAUGCCGCGUGAGU
rnacentral:rRNA from 1 species